GCGCCCAUAGUUUAACGGAUAGAAUAGGGGUUUGCGGAAUCCUUGAUGGAAGUUCAAUUCUUCCUGGGCGCA
rfam:Microgenomates bacterium GW2011_GWA2_46_7 TX62_C0059, whole genome shotgun sequence.